rnacentral:lncRNA from 10 species
UGUAGACCACCUCUAACUCUAUCUGUAACCCCUGGCAUUCACUAAUCUGAUUUUUUUGUACCUAUAGUUUUGCUUUUUUUAAAAUGUCAUAUAGUUUUUUUAUAAAACUUCUAGAAUAAAUAAUAGGUAAAAAUAUGUAGUACUUUGAGUUUAGUGAGCUCCUACCAUUGAGGAAGGAGAAGGAUGUCACACAGCAUGUAGCUUUUUGAACCUGGCUUCUUUUAUGUAGCAGAAUGCAGUUGAGAUUAACCCAUGCUAUUGUGGGUAUCCAUAGUACAUUCCUUUCUGUUGCUGAAUACUGUGGAUGUACAACAGUUUGUUCAUCUACUCAUCAGUUAAAAGAUAUUUGAG